GGAUGAGACCAGAGGAAGAACUGAUAAAUCGUUUCCAAUAUUUGAUAGAGAUGCCAGUAUAGAUGCUCCAUCAUCAGCUGAAGGGUCUCCAGAUCUUGUCUGGAAGUGAAUUCCUUCAAUACAGGGUCCCUGUGUGUCAGGAAGGGCAAGUGACGGAGGCAAAACAGCUGUCUUUAACUUAUCAUUAGUAAGUUGCUGGAAAAUAUAAGCAUGUUUUUCUGAUGAACUAAAAACUAUCUCAUCCCCUCCCAUGAGAAUAACAUUUGAACCUUUUUCUUUGAUACUGCCAUUGACUUGUACGAUGCCUUUGCUCCCCGAGAUUUCAAGCAGCGUAAUUGUUGCACCUCCAUGCUCAGUGUACCUCAGCUUACAGA
rnacentral:misc_RNA from 1 species